rnacentral:rRNA from 1 species
UGGUUUAAUUCGAAGCAACGCGAAGAACCUUACCAAAUCUUGACAUCCUCUGACCCCUCUAGAGAUAGAGUUUUCCCCUUCGGGGGACAGAGUGACAGGUGGUGCAUGGUUGUCGUCAGCUCGUGUCGUGAGAUGUUGGGUUAAGUCCCGCAACGAGCGCAACCCUUAAGCUUAGUUGCCAUCAUUAAGUUGGGCACUCUAAGUUGACUGCCGGUGACAAACCGGAGGAAGGUGGGGAUGACGUCAAAUCAUCAUGCCCCUUAUGAUUUGGGCUACACACGUGCUACAAUGGACAAUACAAAGGGUAGCGAAACCGCGAGGUCAAGCAAAUCCCAUAAAGUUGUUCUCAGUUCGGAUUGUAGUCUGCAACUCGACUAUAUGAAGCUGGAAUCGCUAGUAAUCGUAGAUC